AAUCUUCCAAAUGCUCCUCCUACCCCCACCCCAGAAGAGAAGAAAGCAAAGAGAACGAGAAAGUAAAUCUAAAACACAAUUACGAAAUAAGAUCUAGUUUGGCAAAGCUGGGGUGAGGAGGAGUUGAAAAAUGAGAGCUGCCUUGCUGCAAACGCCAUCUUGUUGCAGCUCCUGGGCCCAGGCACAGAGAGAUCCAUUCAUUCACAGCAGAAAGAAAAUCAAACAGACACCCCGGCUAAUCUGCAGCCACCAAAACAACCACACUAUUAUCACCCCUUCUCCUUCUCCUCUAGCACACAAAGGGGAGAAAUAAAACUCUGAUAAAAUAUUUAGGGACGGAUUUAGGUAUUAACAUAUCGUCUUCAUUUCCUCACGCGUAUUUCACAUACAUAUCGACAGCGUUUUGCCUUGAUUCACAUCCUCGUGUCCAGAUCAGCUUAAAAUAUGGGAUAAAUCUCUCACAUUUAGGAGCAGAUAUCCUACAGCAGCAAAAUGUUUAAUUUUUCAGUCUUAAAUACCUCUUCAAGUUGAGCCAACUAUUCUUAAAAGCUGUUUCAAUAAUCACUUAAGCCUUACAUUUACAGUCCUUUCCUCCUAUUUCCUCCUGUGGAGACAAUGCAUAAUAACGUGGCAGUCGGCACAUCCUAGAAAGGAUGCCUGGUUUAAAACGAGUCCCAGCCAUGACUUUGUUAGAGAAUAAUGAAAUAUCACAUUCGUUAAAAUUUCAGUUCAUCUACAGGAAUGAUAAACUGACAUCUUACAACAACCUCUACAUCAUUCUGAUUUUUUUCUGGACAAGAUUUUUUUGUUAAUAAAACGCUUCAUCUCUUUCAUAUUUACAUGCAAGGCUUUACACAUCUUCAUUCCCUACAAAGCUGUAGGAUUAAAAAUCCUACACGUUCGAUAUCCUUUGGAUGGAUUAAAAAAAAAAAAUAACGCUGAAAUCCUUCCGAUAAAAAAAAAGCUGGGAAUUGAAGGAAUAUUUCAAACAACAUUUCCAAGGAGAAAACUCCAUCUUUCCAUUGUAGCAAACACCCUCCAUGAUCUUCGUUAUCGCCUGCUACGGGCACACAAAAAUAUGCAGCACCGUAAUACAUGGGGGAACAAAUAUGCGGUCUGAAUCCAUCCUCGGUUCCGGUUCUAACGAGAACAAAACCUUCCCUACCCCUCCCUCGCCCAGCACACCCAGCAUGAGCCCCAUCUGCGAGCCCGCGGCUGGCUGGGGGUGCUGGAAGCAGCCUUACCCUGUUUGUCUCACCCCCGGCUCCUCUUAAUCAGUUUUCCACCAUUACAGCAGCCACACCAUUGCCUUUUUUUUUUUUUUUUUUUCCUUCAAUCUCUCUGCAAAUAUUCCCUCUGCCGGCUGGAUCGCUGGGGAACCUCGCCUUUUGUGGCUUAAGACAAGACCCCCAAAAGCGUCUAGCAGGGACCACUACAGCGUAAUUAUAAUUAAAAAUGGAACCCCGCAAGAUCCGAGGUCUCCUCCCUUUUCGCCUGGAAGCCUUCGAGAGGGAAUCAGUCCCACCCCCACCUUUUUCCCCUCCUCCUCCAGCUACAAACACACUUCUUUUUUAGGGGAAGCUGGAGCCCCGAGGAGACUGGACCUCACAUAAACCAGGCAGGAGAGAUGUUACCAAAAUGGAAUAAUUUCCCACCAGAACUCAUAUACUGAAACCUAAUUAAUACUGAAAAGUCUGUGCUCUGCCGUGUCUUCAGAUCCAUGGAAUUUGGCUCACCUUGCUGUGUUAGAUUCCCAUGGAGCUUCCACCCCGUUCCUCCACCCGUGACAGGGCAGUGUGGGAAGCUGGGCACAGCUCAUCGAUUUCUGGUGAAACAGUUCGUGAGGAGCGGAGGAGAGAGGGCAGAUCCAUCUCGCUCUGGUUUCACCUUGGCUCUCCCCGUGGGGCCACGGCGAGGUGGCCAUGCUGAGGUGGCCUCUGUCACACGCUCCUGGUGCUCCCUGGCUGGGAGAGGUGAUGCAGUGGCAGUGCCAGCCCUGCCCAGGUGGCACCGCCGCCAGCCAGGGGACAGUACACAGACAGGCAUCCACAGGGGACUUCACGCUCUGCUUUCUGCAGCUCUCUAUCCCACAGGCAGGAGAAAUCCAUUAAACAGCACACUGGAAUUCAGGGGAAUUUCCUGCAUGGUUUAGACAAGCUGGAGAAAUGAUGGAGUUAAAUAUUUGGAUGAUUAAGGCAUCGAAGCAUCUGACGUAUGAGGGAAGGAUGAGCAAGCUGGGAGUCUUUGGCCUCAGGAUGAGGUGAUACAGGAGGGAUCUAUAAAUGUGAAUAAAUACCUGGGGGGGAAGUAUAAAGAAGACAGGCAGACUUCUCUCACUGGGCACCAGCUUGCACAGUAAGAAGCAGUAGGAACCAUCCCAAACACAGGAAAUUCCAUUCCAACAUUCCAAAAACCUAUUUUCACUGUGAGGGGAUCAGACAGGAGAACAGGUUGCCCAGAGGGGCAGUGAGAUUUGCAUCCUUGCAGAAUUCAGAGCCACGGUGGGCAGGGCAGGCUGCUCUGGCUGGCCCCAGUGGGCAGUGGGGGCUGGAUUAAAGUCCCUUCCAACCUCUGGAUCCUGGAUUUGUUUACCAAUGAAAAAUAGAGGCAGAGACAUUGAAACCUAUCAGGAUAUCUGUGGUAGAGCUGGAGUCUGUCACACUCCAGGAUAUUUCUUGAUUGAGAGAUAACCCUACUCAUUAUCACCGAUUUUUUCUUCAUUAUUACAGCAGAAAAUAACCGAACACGUGCUUUUUUAUUUCCCAGAUGGCCCAAAUCAUUUGAAUUUCAGUGUUUUACAGCAGGUACAAUGGGCCUUUUAUCAGGAGUGAGAAGUCUAUAUGCGAAAUAAAUAAGGAAUAAAAGCACACCACGUUUUUUUCCUCCAAAUAAUGGCACUGAACGUAAUUACCGCUGUGUGUGCCGGCCUUGCAGUCUGCCCAGCCGACCUUCACCGGGGCCACUCCGGCUCACUUCCCCCAUCUGCUGGGAGCACGCAGCUCAGCCAAGGGCGGAGGAUGCGUUCUCCAAACACACACGGGGUGUUUAUUUUUAUGGCCGUCUGCUUUGCUGCCUAAUCACAGCUCCGUUUCCUUCAAACCCAGCUGGAGUGACCUUAUGUGCGGGGCAGAGCAGCUUCUCCCAUUUUCAGUUCUCUGACAGCUGCCGGGCAGGGUUUUUGGGGAAAGAUGCAUUUCCAGCCCCAUGGAGCUGAACAAACCUUGCCUCUCUCUUCUCAGCGUCUUCCCCUAGUUAGGAAUGUCCAGGGGCUGUUUCUAAAUCUCACACUUUGCCCCAGUUUCUUCUCCAGAUUCGCCCCUUAAGAGGGGGAGGGAGCGGGGAGGUUUUUUCCUGCGCUUCAUGUCCCACACAAAGUUCAUCAUGCUCUGACUGUACCUGUAUUUCAAAGUGACAGCGCAGCCCACGCUCAGCGUGUUCAUCCUCCGAAUUCCCUGCGAGAAAAGGCAGUGCUGCAGCCCCUGCUCCACAGACCAGGGUCAUGUGGGAAAUCUGUGGCAGAAAAGUCACAAAAUUGGGGUUCCCAGCUCAGUACUGGGACCUCGGGACUGCACUUCCCCACUUGUGGAAGGAAAUAGUUUAUGCCAUAAAGUCCUAGCGUGGAAAGAGAAAAAAAAUGUACAAAUAAGGGCUCGACAUUAGGCUCUUCUCUUUUGUUUCCUUUUUUGAGCUACUUGGGAAAGCAGAGUAAAAAAUGAGUAAAAAUUAAGCGCUUUUGUGCAGAUUCAGGCUUGCAGAUUCAUUUUUAAGUCUGAAAUAGAAAUUGAUUUUCUCCUUUUUCUGAGUGCCCAAGGUGAGCUUUGUUAUUUAAAAAAUUUUGAAAUAUCUUUGAAAGUCUGCAUUCUUUUCUACGAGCCCCUUUUUUUCUUCCAGUAAGAUAAAAAGAGAGCAGCUCUGGCAUUUUAUAUUCUAAAUUUUGACUGACCAGAACAAAAUGUUUUCCCAGCAAUAUAGGUUUGCACCUAAGCCUUUUUUGUGCAUUGAGUUUGACCUUAGGAUGUAGAAUUUCAUAAAACAUUUAUUGUCUUCUCCAGUUUUUAGAGCACAAUUCCCCUGUGAUACUUUGUUUUCAUCGUCUGCUCUGAAAAGGAUUCCAAGCCUUCUCUUGCAGUUUGAAUUUUAAUUGUGGGUGAAGGAAAGAACCUCUGCUACCUGCAGCAAAAUUAGUCAGUGUCUCCCUAAACAAAAAGAGUUCUAACAGGUAAAGAGGAUUAGGAUCAGAACCAGGAGACGGCCAAGAGUAGGGAGAGUGGUUGUGGCAGAGAUAUUUUGUUCCAUAAAUGGAGGAUUUGCGUGUCCGUGUGUCCCACUCAUCUGUCCUGGCAGCAGCAGCGAUCCUUUCCCCUCAAAAAGUGCAGCUGGUAAAGACAAAAUGCAGUUAGCAAAUAAAGCAACCAAACCUGAGCUGUUUGAGGCCAGUGAGGCAGACAAAGGCAACUGCGAGGCAAAGAAAGAAAUGGGUUUUUCUCUGACUUCUCCUGUGUGCAGACCCCACUGAUGCCUCAGUCUGGAUGCUGCAGGUUUACCACUAAAUACUCUCCAAAGAUUAUAAUGCAUCAAUUAUCAAAGCCGUUCUAGAGGUACCACUUUACUUAUAUUGUUAACGAGCUUGGCUAUAAAGGGAUUUGCAGCCUGAAUUUCAUGACAGAGCCAAGGUAUAAUUUGCUCUGGGCUAUAAAGCCCAUGAAUUAUUAAGGAAAUUUACUUCCAUGGCUGCGUUUUCUUUCUGAGCACAAGUGCUCGUGCUGAGUGCAUGUGUGUGAGAGGAGAGACAGUGAUGGAGGCUCCAGCCUCGGCACUCCAUCUCCCCAGCACAGGCUCUUCCACACAGCCAGCAAAGAACAGCAGAAAAUAACUGACAAAAUGAGCAUUUGGAACAAAUGAGAGAAGAAAAAUUGCAUGCUGAACAGUGCCAAACUGAGGACCAAAUAUAAAUCACAAUUAAAAAUGCACUUUGGGUAAUUACAGAGAGGGGCUUUUCCCUUAGAGAUGUCACAAAGCUUGUGUGGAUAUAAUCAGACUUGAAUAGAUGUGGUGAUGGUGAAAACCAGCAGCCUGACAAAUCAGAAUUCUUAGAUCCUGCAUCAGGCCAAGCCUAUAACCUGCUGUGGGACCAACCUCCCCCUGGUGUUCUUUUAAAACCUGGGUUCUUCUGCAAGCGAGGCUUUGGAAUCACAAAUUCCAAAUCCAUGUCCUGCUUCCCCUCCUUCCACUCUGCACACCCAGCUAAUAACUCCUGAAUCCACUGACCAAUCCCAAGCAAAGUGACAGAGAACUGCAGGUUUCAAAAACGAGAAAUUCUAAAUGUUCCAUGAACCAGGAGCUGUGUAGAGAUGAGGGAUCUCUUCAGCCCUCCACUGCAAGAAGGAUUCCAGCAUGGGGUCACCCUUAGCAGGCUCUGGAGAAGGCCAUUCACAAGAAAGACCUUAAUAAUUCCCUGACUGUGAAGGUUACACAGCAAACUGAGCAGCUUUGGGUGUGCAGGGGGAGUCUGUGUUCCUGAGGGCUGAUGGGGCAGUAGUUGCUGCUGACAAUUUCUGAGUUAAUGAACCACCUAACAAGGCAAAACACAAGACUUUUCCUUAGGUGCUGGAAAGGGAACACCAGAUUAUGCCCUCGUUCCUAGGGAGUCAAGGCAUUUGGGGUUUUCCUGGGGUUUUGCCCCUCCUGUGGCCAAGCAGAGCGGAGCUGGCAGUCCCAGCCGAGGCACCAAGGGCAGGGCCGGGAAUCGGAGCCGCGGCCGCGGUUCCCGGUGCCCCUGCAGGCAGCCCGGUCCCCUCCCGAGCCGGUCCGUGCCGAUCCCUGCACGCAGGAGAAGGGAGGGACUGCCCUCUUGUGUCAGUCACGAUCCUUUCGUGACUCUCAGUUCCCGUCUCUGUGAGGGAGCGCUCAGCCAUUUCCCAACACAAAUUCCUUCUUCGGAAGGGCAGAGGCUUCGUUCUGAGUGCUGUGGAAAAGUUCAAUAAAUAAAAAUACAUCUGCUGUAUUUAUGACUUGGAGACAUCCAGGACUGGGCAUAUUUUGCCCUUCCAGACAGAGACAUCCAAGUUGUUACCCUGGCUUAUGCCCAGCCUCCAUCUUGACACAGAUAAGGAAAGCAGAGAGAAGAAUAAAACAGCAGAAAUAUAAUGAAGGAUGACAGAGAGGAGACACGAGAGAAGCAGAUUUGUUACACCAGUCAACCCUCAUAGUAAGUUACAAGCAAGUUAAAUAUAGAAGUGACCCUUCUCUGGGGAGCCAGACUCAUGGACAGCUCACACACGACUGCAGCAGCACCUCGGGCCUGUGGCUGGCAGAAAUCUUCAUUUUUAAAUCAUUAGUGCUCAUUUCCAGGGCACUUCUUGCAGUAAUGGUUGUCAGAGAAUAACAGUCUCCUAAAAGCUGUGCAGGCUUUUGUGCCCACCACUUCUACUGCCUGUUAAUGACAGACACCUAAAUUUAUGCUACAUUCACUAAUAGCACUGAGUGCUCAGGCUUUGGUUGCUGCUCUUACCCAGAGCAAUGAGCCAGCCUGGCAAUUGCUCUUGUUCUUAAGGCAGCCAGAUUAGCACCUUGCUAAAGGAGAUUCAGAGAAAAUCACUGCUCAGGAGAGGACAAAAUGUGGAGCAUUUGGAAUAUGGAGGGCCAAGGGGAAGAGCUGCCAUUAAAACCCUGCCUCUGGAGCCCAUAUUUUUGUCUGGCUGCUGUAAUCAGCUGCAGGCUCCCAGUUCUAAAAUGAUGCUCAGCAGUUAUCCCUCCAUCAGUUCUUCACGAAGAACCAUCCCUAAGAGUAAUUCCUUGGAACCUUUGCCCAGCCUGUACUGUGGUAUUUGUAUCUCUAACUUAUUCUGGAUGGCUCAGCACAAAUACGUUUUGUGUCACCCUGCUCAUUCCUGAGCUUGUCCAUGUUCUCAGCUGGAAAAAGCUGCCAGAAACCUGAGAUUUUUCUUUCCUGUGCUGCCUGAGAUCCUGACACCUGAGCACAUAACAAAAUAUAAAGGCAUCUCCGAAAUAUUUGAUGAAUAUUUCAAAUAUAUCAGUAAUCCCGAACCAUGUGUGCAAGUGUCUCUUUGGAAUUAAUGUGUACUUUAUCUGGAAAAAACAAACAGCAAAGAGAACCCACCCACAAGGCAACACAUCUUGCAAAUAGAAAUGAAAAGAUUUACAGAAUCUCAAAAACAAUCCCUUGGGGUCUCACCACCACCACCACAGAAGUGUCGUGUCUCAUCUCACUCCCUGUAAAAAACACAAAGCAUUUCCCCCCACACUUUCCUGUCCUGGCAUCUUCCUGCUCCUUGAGGAACGUGAGCCCCUGUGCAGCACUUUGUCCUCAGCAGUUUUCUGGGCACUUGAUGUUCUCAAAAGAAGAAAAAUUACAGAGGCUGUUCAGUGUUACUUGCUGUGAUUCCCCCUUCAACUCCAGUUUGGGAAAUUUCUGUUCUAAAACAACAACUUCCUGUUUGUACUGUUCUGAGUGUGUAUUCCCAAGGUGGCAAAAUCCUCCUGACCUUUUUUAUUGCUGGACACAAGGAACAAAUUUUUUAUCAGAAGAUGAACAUGCAUUCACGUCCCACUUUUACAGGCAUUUUUAAACUGCUGCCCUUUCACCUCAUUUCAUAUCCUUGAAGAAGCUUUACCAGGGGAUUACAGCAGUCACAGAAAACAUUUCUUGUGACAGAUCAUUACAAGGGCAUGAGAAGAAACAUCUUUCCAUCGUAAACCCAAAUUCUUAAAAAACUUAUAAAACUUAUAAACCCAAACUCUUCAUGUCUUCUUUAACUC